GGUAGUGGUGUUGUGUGGCUCGUCUGUGGUUGGGUGUAGAUUGCAGCAAGGUCCCGACUACGAUAAAAUAAGAGUUUUUGAAGCUGUAGCCCAAGUAUUCUGAAGACCUCCAGCCCUCUGUGUCCUCUUGCCUGUCAGAAUGUCUGGACACGGAAAGAAGCAAUCAGCAGCUGGCAACCCUGGAAAUGCAUCAAAGAAAAGCAAAUCAGCCAAGGCAGGUCUGCAGUUCCCUGUGGGUCGUGUCUAUAGACUCCUCCGCAGAGGGAAGUACGCUGAUAGGAUUGGUUCUGCCGCUGCCAUCUACCUGGCUGCAGUGUUGGAGUACAUGGCAGCAGAGGUCCUGGAGCUGGCGGGGAAUGCUGCACGUGAAAACAAGAAGACAAGGAUCCUGCCCAGGCACCUUCAGCUGGCUGUGAGCAAUGAUGAUGAGCUGAACAAGUUCUUUGCCUGUGUGACCAUUCCUCAAGGCGGGGUUAUGCCAAAUAUCCAUUCUCAGCUGCUUCCGAAGAAAACUAGUGGGAAUGUUGCUUCUUCUCAAGAAUAUGGUGGUAGCCAGUGAAACCUGCUUUUCUGGGUCUGUUUACUUAUGGAUGAUGGGAACUCGGCACCACUAAUUUGUAUAUGUUUACUUCUUUGUCAAAUAUUUUUGCCUGCUAAUUCUAAGGCAUUUUUAAAGUGUGUAAUAAAGUUUCUAGAAUACAA